CAUUAGAUGACUGAAAGCAAGUACUGGUCUCUUAAACAAAUUAAUAGUAAAUUAGCGCCUACUUCUAAUGA
rnacentral:tRNA from 1 species